AGUAAAGCCUACGUAUCACAGAGGUAGUUCCUCUGUGCCUUGCAGGAUGGUUGUGGUAUGGCAACGUUUCAGUUUGGGUCCCUGUUUCUGCUAAGCCACUCACAAUGUUUGAGUUAAUAGAGGCAGCUGCUCCCUUUAAGAACUUUGUGUCCUUAAGCAAGUCAUCUGGCCUUUUAAACCUCACACACUAUUUGUAAAUGCGGAUAACAUGUGCCUUGGAGAACAUCUUGUUCUAAGAAUUAAAAUGGAUGAUGUAUCCAGAAUGCUUUUGAACUAAGGAUCUUGAUUGGUGUUGCUAUUUUGAUUACUUACUCUCCAGCAGGAGAGUGAAGGUCCCCUGGAGCAUUAAGUGCCACAUCACAGCAGAACAAGAACAAGGCUAAAUGCAAGAAGGGACACCAAUAAAAGCAAGGAGGAAAACCAGCUCUGGAUGGAGAACUAGAAAACAGCUUCAAGCCUGAGUCAAAAUGGAGGAAGGAAGCCAAGCAGGACACCUCCAAGAGCUACCCGUGGGCUUUCUUACGAAUUUCUGUGGAUAAGCACUUUCAUCGACACACAUGCUUUGCUAACACCGCUGUUACAUAUCUUUUCAGCCUUUUUGUAUAUAUUGUUCUCCUACAAAACAGAAAAAUUGUUGUACACAUUGUUUUGUGACCUGCACUCUCUUGAGGCAUAUAUUUAACAUUCUGAACGGUAUUCUAUUUUGUGAAUUUAUUAAUACACAGUAAAUCAAACACUAUUUGUAGCCAUUUUCUUGCCAUCUGAUUUUCAUUAUUUUGAACAACACUUUUGUGAGUACCACUGAGCACAGCCUUUGCAUUGGUCUUACUUACUGGGAAAAGUUUGCGAGCUUUAACAGUACUCC